GGAGGGGUAAGCAGUGCAGUGCAGAAGAGACACUAUAGAAUCCCAUAGAAUUGCUCUGCACAGGCCUUCAGGAUCCUGGGGCUGACGGCAUCAGGCCCUGGUGGUUUUUUGGUAGUCAGUCUCUUCAGCUGCCUCUUCACUUGACUUCUAGAGACAGAAAUUUGGAAGCUGGAGUACCAUCCUCUGAUUUGGCUGAGAACAAUUGUAUAAAAGCAGAAAUGCUGAUUCACAAAUGGAGCUACCCCCUCAAUCCAAAAAAACAGACAGCAGAAUCAGUGGAUACCAGAAUCAAGCCAGCAAAGAGAAUAAGAAGAGCCCACCUGCCCCCACUCAUCCUCCCGACCUUCUACAAAAGCACCUUAGAGAGCAUUCUAACCAGCUGUCUCCCUGCGUGAUGUGGAGGCUGAAGCACCUCAGACCGGAAGAAAGUGAGAAGAGUUGUGAGAAAAGCAGAGAAGAUCAUCGGGGCUUUCCUCCAUAAAAGACAUUUCAUCUCAGCGCUGCGUGUCCCACGCUCUUAAAAUAAUCAAUAACCCCUCUCAAACCCCAACAUAGACUGUUCUCUUUGCUGCCCACUGGGACGAGGCUUCACAGCUUCAGAUGCAGGUCCAGCAGAUUCUGCAACAGUUUCUUCCCCACCGCCAUCAGACUGCUGAACUGUUGAAAAACCUCCAAAUCAUGUCACAAACUCUGCAUCACACUGAUAACACCAAACCAAAAAUACUGCAUAUUUGGAACAUAUACAUUUAUGCUCUGAACUUCCAUAUCAAUGCUUUUUUUGUACCAUGUUUUUUCUCCCACACUGUUUAAUUUGAUCUCUGCUGCACUUUCUGGAAUUGAAAGGUUAAUUUACUGUCUGUAAAGCUGUACUAAAGUUUUGAAAAUGUAGUACAACAAUAAAAGCUGUCUAAGUCAGAAAGGGGCCAUAACAUUUUUUAGCAUUACUGGUAUCCUAACAAUCACGUAAUAAUAUCAUUGCCUGUUUUGGAUAACUGGUUAUUAAACAACUAAGCUUUUCUUUUCUGUUUUUGUUCUUUAAAAAUUGGCCUAAAAUAAGAAAAUGACAGAAGAAUGGCAAGAACAAUUCAUUAGAAGUCUGGACAAUGGAAAGACUACUGCAGCACUAGGCCGUCUGUGACUGCCUUAGACUUAAGACUUUUUUAAUCAACUUUGUUUAUCCUUUGGGAUUACUCCCUCAGGGAAUUUCUGGUUCCAGUAGCUUAUAUAGACUACAAAGAGUUAAAGUAAGAUGCCAUUAAAGAUCAAAAUACAGCAG